GUACAUACACAAUAAUAAUUUAUUCAUGUUUUCAAAAAAAAAAAAACCAAAUUUCCGUAAAAUUUUUUUUCCCAAAAUAUUAAAGGGAAAAUUGAAGCGAUUAUCACUUUCUCUUUCUCAUUCAUCUGUAAAAAAAAAGUGAAACCUUCAUUAAACCUUCAUCAAACCUCCAUAGCAAAUCUUUCAUCAGCCGCUUACUGCACCGGCGCUCCACCGCCGUUCCACGUCUGCAAUACCGCACAUGUCUGCUGAGCCACCAGUAAAUUGAGUAGACAAAUCUCAGACAGUUAAACAAAAGAACAAUAUAAAUGGCAGAAGGGGUGAUAGAAGAAGUUUUAAAAGUUCCACUUAAGGCAAAAUUUUAUCCAUGAAAGUUGGCUUGACAAACUUCAGUCCCACAAGUGGAGGAAGCAAUGUUUUUGUAUUUUAAGCAAGUUCCUCCUACAUAUUCUCAACAAAUGAGCAACGAGCUUAGGAAAAGGUGGAUUUCAUAUGUUACCGGAUACCAUCAACCAAAUGACGACAACGACAACGAUUUAUGUGAAUUGUAGAUCAAUAUGGUAUUGGUAUAUCUAAGCAUAAUUUUUUUUUUUUCAAUCAACAUUAACUAGAAAGGUGUUUUGAUAUUUAACUCACGUAUUUGUUUGUAUAGUACAAAUUUUGUAUGAUUGAUUCAAUUUAAUUGUGGUUCGAUGUUUUAAAUUAUAUAUAUGAAGUAUAUUCUGAUGGCUUUCGUCAUAUCUGGAAAUAUUU